AACGAACGCUGGCGGCAUGCCUAACACAUGCAAGUCGAACGAGAUCUUCGGGUCUAGUGGCGCACGGGUGCGUAACGCGUGGGAAUCUGCCCUUUGGUUCGGAAUAACAGUUGGAAACGACUGCUAAUACCGGAUGAUGACGAAAGUCCCAAGAUUUAUCGCCAGGGGAUGAGCCCGCGUAGGAUUAGCUAGUUGGUGUGGUAAAGGCGCGCCCAGUCGACGAUCCUUAGCUGGUCUGAGAGGAUGAUGAGCCAAACUGGGACUGAGACACGGCCCAGACUACUACGGUAGGGAGCAGUGGGGAAUAUUGGACAAUGGGCGAAAGCCUGAUCCAGCAAUGCCGCGUGAGGGAUGAAGGCCUUAGGGUUGUAAAGCUCUUUUACCCGGGAUGAUAAUGACAGUACCGGGAGAAUAAGCUCCGGCUAACUCCGUGCCAGCCGCCGCAGUAA
rnacentral:rRNA from 1 species